UGGACCACAGAUGCUUGGGCUUA
rnacentral:siRNA from 1 species